GCAAUGAUGAGGUUGAAAUGAUAGUAAGGCAUAUAUCUCGAGCCAAGGCAAUGAUGAGGUUGACAUGAUGGUAAGGCAUAUAUCUCCAGCCAAGACAAUGAUGAGGUUGACAUGAAGGUAAGGCAUAUGUCUCCAGCUAAGGCAAUGAUGAGGUUGACAUGAAGGUAAGGCAUAUGUCUCCAGCCAAGGCAAUGAUGAGGUUGACAUGAAGGUAAGGCAUAUGUCUCCAGCCAAGGCAAUGAUGAGGUUGACAUGAAGGUAAGGCAUAUGUC